CCUACGGGUGGCAGCAGUAGGGAAUUUUCGUCCAUGGGCGCAAGCCUGAACCAGCGAUGCCGCGUGAGUGAAGACAGCCUUCGGGUCGUAAAGCUCUGUUGCGGGGGAAAAAAGGCAGCAACAGGAAAUCGUUGCUGACUGAUGGUGUACCGCCAGAAAGUCACGGCUAACUACGUGCCAGCAGCCGCGGUAAUACGUAGGUUGCGAGCGUUAUCCGGAGUGAGUGGGCGUAAAGGGAGCGCAGGUGGUCCUGUAAGUCAGGAGUGAAACGGAUGAGCUCAACUCUUGCAUGGCUUUGGAAACUGGAAGACUGGAGAGCAGGAGAGGGAGGUGGAACUCCAGGUGUAGCGGUAAAAUGCGUAGAUAUAUGGAAGAACCCCGGUGGCGAAGGCAGCCGACUAGCCUGUUGCUGACGCUGAGGCACGAAAGCGUGGGGAGCAAAUAGGAUUAGAUACCCGGGUAGUC
rnacentral:rRNA from 1 species